UACGUAGGGGGCCAGCGUUGUCCGGAAUCAUUGGGCGUAAAGCGCGCGUAGGCGGUCAGGUAAGUCCGGUGUGAAAGUCAAAGGCUCAACCUUUGAAUGCCGCUGGAUACUGCUUGACUUGAGUCCGGAAGGGGCGAGUGGAAUUCCUGGUGUAGCGGUGAAAUGCGUAGAUAUCUGGAGGAACACCGGUGGCGAAGGCGGCAUCCUGGACCGGUAUUGACGCUGAGGCGCGAAAGCCAGGGGAGCAAACGGG
rnacentral:rRNA from 1 species